UUUAGUCUGGCGCUUGUGCCUAUCUAUCUUGGUCUUAGAACUGAUUCACCACUCUGUUCGUCCUGCUACUGCCAUCAUCGAAACCUUCCCGCGCCAUACGCUCCCAUGGCUCCGUCGUCCUUGCUGCUCUUCCUCAUCUCGUCGGUGCCAGGUGAUGCUUGCGGCAGCAGCAGCAUACGUGCAAAGGAGGAAAGGACCGCGCGCCUGUGGUAUGCGGCAACCUCAGCAUCUCCUACCCGUUUGGCGUUUGGCGUUUGGGUUACUCUCGGAGGAAGCAACGGAGUAACUGCGCAGCGCAGUGCUCGGAUUCCAAGUCGUUUGCUCAGGCAACACCCUUUACCUCGGGUUAGGUUUUAAGGUAUCGUUGUAGAUUCUCAACAUCUUCUACGGCAUGGGCUCCUUACUCGUUGCCGAUGUCUACAAGCUCCACGACUUCAAUAGCUCCGCGCCCAACUGCUGCCAUGCCCCAGGUGUCAACGUCUCCACCAAGCCCAUUCUCAAUCAGCCCCGUCAAUCAGAACCUCAUAUUUUACAACUGCACCAAGCCAGCGGCAGAGGAGGUGAGGCAGAAACGCGGCCUUGUGGGGACGGCAUGCCGCAACAACACGUUUGUUCGCGCCGGAGGUAGUUACGACGACGAGGGGUCGGGCAGCUACAGCAAUUACUUUCUGGAGGGCUGCAACGCUACCGUCGUGCCGGUGCUUGGGAAUUCUGGCGAGGCGAACGCGAGCAGAUCCGAGAAGCUCAUCAGCGGCGGCUUUCUCUUGACAUGGUACGGUCGUCGUCGCCAGGUAAAUUUCACUAAGAUUAAUUUAAGACCAUCCUACAGGGAGAACGAUGAGCGCACGCGCGAGCAGCGGCAUGAAGGUCCAUGUGGGCGGCGGUGGCAAGCUCUGCACCGCGCCGGCGAGGCCGUGUGUUCGUCGACGGCGGCGACCGCGCGAGUAUGGUGGUGGCGAGAUCUAGCUAGGUGUGCUUUGCGCACGAGUGCACUUUGGCGGCGUUGGCAGCAAACUCGGGGUGGCCAUGCACGAGCUCGAGGGGCGCUGCCGCGACGGCGGGCUCAAGGGACGGGGCCACGGCCAGCUCAAGGUGGCAGCCACCACAAGCUCCGCCUGUAACACAGAUCGAAGGAAAAGUUGAAUUGCUGGAGUCCAAAUCGAAAUUCUAUGGUCCAGAUCGAAGCACAGGAGGAAAAUGAGAGCUUUCAUCAGCAAGGUGCAGGCUUGCCAAUGGAAUAGAAAAUAGAAAAGGAGGCGCGUUUCAAGGCACGGCGAGGCCUGCAGGUGGGCAGCCAGACGUGGACGGCGGCGGCCAUAGGCGGCUGGAGGCGACACGCACGGCGGGAGCCGGGGAGCACGCGCGGGCAGCCAAACGCCGGCGGCCACAGCAACGGGGCGCGCGGCAGGCCAUGCGGGCGGCCGCCACCACGGGCCUGGCGUGGUUGCUCUCAAGCGGCGACUCGCGGACAGCGCAUGGCGGGGCACCAUGGCUACAUAGCGUAGGCGACGGCGACCUCCAUGGUGUGGGGAGCCAUCGAGACGACUUUUUUGUAUUUUUAGAUUUUUUUGAAAGAUUCUCACAAAUACGUCGAACCAAUUUUAAAAAUGGAUCCUUAGCUUGGCACCAUCCACGCUGGCGCCAAGCUACAACGUCUCGGUGCCAGCCACCCUAGCGCCAAGAUCCAUGCGCAGCUGCUGACGCGGAUGUCGAUGGCGCCAAGCUUGACGCCGUAGAUCAUGGCGCCGAGCUAUUUACCCCGUACUUCUUCGCAUUUCGAACUAAACAAGUACAAUUAUUCCGAGGAGUGUGCAAUAAACUAAACUGUGGUUCAACCGGUUAGGAGGUGGGCUUCUUAUCUUGGAGACUUGAGUUCAAACCCCUGUGUUGAACCUUUUUUUCUACAUGACCUUGGCGUCAGGAUGGCUGGCGCCGAGACGUUGUAGCUUGACGCCAGCUAAGGGUCUAUUUUUAAAAUUAGUUUCGUCGUGAGCCUAUUUGUGAGAAUCUUUCGUAAAAAGGGUUUAAAAAAAGUCAGCCAUCGAGAUGGAGCUGCAGGAUGGGUCUCACGAGUCACGAGGGUGGAAACGAGGCCAUGCCCGCAUCGCUAAAAUCGCUGGUUUCAUCAUCUUUGGUGUUACCGAGCCGACAUCGUUUCUCAGGAAGGAAAUCGUUUCCUUCUCUCUUCAAUAAAUGGCUAGCCACAUCAACAAUUCGUCUACGUGACUGUGUAUUUAUUAAUAUGAAAAUUAUUCUCGUCACUGUGGUGGACUGCCUUGAAACGUGAGAGGAGGGUUGCCAUUCGAUUUUCAUUAGAUACAAGCCGGUAGCUGGACGUGCAAAAUCGAAAACUAUAGACCUAGCUUGGUUACUCUUGCUUAUUUUUAUUUUUAGUACCCGUUGUAUCGAAUGUUUAGAUACUAAUUAGGAGUGUUAAACUUAGACUAUUUACAAAACUCAUUAUAUAAGUGGAGGCUAAACGGUGAGAUGAAUCUAUUAAGUCUAAUUAGUUAAUGAUUUGACAAUGUGUUGCUACAGUAAACAUUUGCUAAUGAUGAAUUAAUUAUGUUUAAUAGAUUUGUCUCGCCGUUUAGCCUCCAUCUGUGUAAUGGAUUUUGUAAAUAGUCUACGUGUAAUACUCCUAAUUAGUAUCUAAACAUUUGAUGCGACACGUGUUAAAAAUAAGCAAAGGGAACCAAAAGACUCGUAAUUAUGAGAAAGGUUAGUGACAAUAGGACAACACUGAAUGUCAAUAUUGCUUCUUCUUCCCGUUGGACCUCCGCCUCCCUUGCACACAUCCCCAUUCCUCAAUCCCGUCCAUUUCGCAGCCUCCUAGCUCCUAUACUGAUCGAAUAACAAGCUUGAUGCAUCCGGCCCUGGUCCUCUUCCCGCUGGCCGCCUCCUUGCUCCUCCUCCAAGACCAUGCAAGCGCCGACUGCGAGCCGGCGACAUGCGGGAACCUCACUCUCAGAUACCCAUUCUGGCUGGGCAGCGGCAACCAGACCUCAUCACCCUGCGGCCACCCGUCCUUCGAGGUCUGGUGCAGCGACCGCCGCCGGAGCGUAGCCUCACUGAAGGGCUCCUCCAUGCACAUCCUCUCCAUCGAUUACACCAACUACUACUUCGUCGCCUCCCACACCAGGGUCGCCGCCGCCGACGGCGUGUGCCGCACCGACUUCAACAUGUCGAUCAGCAUCGCGCUCAGCCCGUUCACCAUUAGCCCCCGGAACCGCGCCCUGUGCUUCCUCUACAACUGCACCGGCGGCGCGGCCCCGAUCGGGCCCGACGAGUACGUGAACGCCACCUCCAUCAGCUGCCGUGACCCCAUCUACGCGUACCUCGGCGGGGCCUACUACUGGGACAAGCCGCCGGCGAUCGCGUCGGACGGGUGCACGUACACGUACAUCCCAGUGCUGGGGCGGGAGGCGGAGACCAUGACGGCGGCCAACUACAGCCGGCUCCUGAAGGACGGAUUCGUCCUGGAGUGGGAGGCGGCAGGGAUCGGCGACUGCGCCGCCUGCAACGCGAGGGGCGGGAAGUGCCGGUACGACAAAGCCACCGCGGCGUUCCGGUGCCUCUGCCCCGACGGCAGCCGCGCGGCGGGGUCGACAUGCUCCGGUGAGUAGUCACUCUCCCACUUCCCUCCGUACACGUACAGUAGUCAGCGUGUGUGGACGCCGGCGGGCGACCCGGCGCAUGCCGCUUUCAGCUGCAAGACUUUCUUGGUCCAUUGCAUCAUGCGGAUUGCGGCGUGGCGAAGGCGCAGCGGCGCUGGCGCAUGCAUCGGCGUCGCGGUAGUGCUGCCCAUGGGGUUGGAUCCUCGUAGGCCCCAUGGAGAUUUUGCACGCAGCUCUCGCUCUCAGUAACCUUGGCUAGUUUCCCUCGAUCCACCGGUAGAAUGGCCCGCGGCAGCUGGAGUGAUGGCUAUCUUAAGACUGUGUGGCGCGCGCACUGGCCACGCCGCAAUCCCUGGUAAACGCGUGUGCGGUCAAUGUCGUCUUCCCUGCCGGGGCAGCAGAGCGCUCGCCGCGGCGCGGAGCAACAGGGGAGGGGGCCUGCCGCUGCCGGGCGUCGCUUUCGCCUGCCAUUAGCUUCUCCACGUGCUCUUUCGCGCAUGAUCGUUCCCAUUAAGGGUGUUUGAUACGAGCUGCUAUAGGAGGGUCAUAUCGGAUGUUCGGAUGCUAAUUAGGAGGACUAAACAUGAGCUAAUUAUAAAACUAACUGCAGAACCCCUAUACUAAUUCGCGAGACGAAUCUAUUAAGCCUAAUUAAUCCAUCAUUAGCAACUGGUUACUGUAGCACUACAUUGUCAAAUCAUGGACUAAUUAGACUUAAUAGAUUCAUCUCGCGAAUUAGACUCCAUCUGUACAAUUAGAUUUGUAAUUAGACUAUAAUUAAUACUUCUAAUUAGUAUUCAACAUCCGAUGUGACAUGUCCUAAAGUUUAGGAGGUGGUACCAGUGCGCUGACACAUCAACGGUAGGGUAUAUCAUCACUUGCCUCGAGCUUUAGCUUGAUCCAUAUCUUGUUGCUAUUAGGGGGUGUUUGAUACAAGGUGCUAAAGUUUAGAAGGGCCAUAUCGGAUGUUCAGAUGCUAAUUAGCAGGAUUAAACAUGAGCUAAUUACUAAACUAAUUGCACAGAUGGAGUUUAAUUCGCGAGAUGAAUCUAUUAAGGCUAAUUAAUCCAUCAUUAGCAAAUGGUUACUGCAACACCACAUUGUCAAAUCAUGAACUAAUUAGGCUUAAUAGAUUCGUCUCGCGAAUUAGACUCCACCUGUGCAAUUAGUUUUGUAAUUAGACUAUAUUUAAUACUUCUAGUUAGUAUCCAAACAUCUGAUGUGACAGGUGUUAAAGUUUAGCAGGGUAUCCAAACACCGCCUUAGUAGGUUGCAGUUAGCAUUGCUGACUUGCUGUCUUUGCUGAAGUGUCCAUUUGUGGCAAGUAGGUGCACUAAGUGCGUGAGGCUAGGGUCACAAGUGGUCACCAAAUCUGCACUUCUGAUUUUCUAGUCAAAAUAAUAAGGGGCACUUUUUAUGGACAAGUACCUCAAGUAGGUUUACAUGAUAGUCUUUGGAUCCCAGCCCAAAUUACAGGCAAAUAUUGUCUUGCAGUGUUUGAUUUAUAAAUAUGAAAAAAAAUCCAAAUUAUCAUAGGCUUUGUUCAUAAGCUUAGAGCUUGGAGCUUUGCCGUAGAAAAGCAGCAUGAAUAACCAUUUAGAUGGAAUGCACAAGAAAAACACAUGACUUUGCAGGGGGUCCCACGUGUAUCCUGCUCAAAGCCCCUCCAAUGCUCCAGCAUCUCGGUCACCAGAACAGAGCAGUCAAACUCGGAGACGAGGACCGGUCCACACAUUCAGCACCAUCCUUCGCGCCUUCCUUCCGGCCCCAUUAAGGCUCCUUUAGCACGGCUCAUCCAUUGGCUUCUCGAGUGAUUUUUGAUGAAACCAUGCCAAACAGGCACCGUCAAAACGGCUAGCAAGCAAAAGCCAGGCGGAAGCCCCGCAAAAUGCGCUGAGUGCGUUCCUCCCCGCGCGAGAAGCUAAAAAUAGUGGCUUAUCUUGGCUUCUCCCCGUCGGAACGAGACCAAUUCCAUCGCUAACCUCGGUGCUUACCUGGUGGCGGGGUGGAGCACCGGUCCAGCGGCGGACGGAGGAGGAGAGAGGAGGGGAAAAAGAAAAGAAGGGCCUGGCGGGGUGGCGGCGGAGUGGCGGAGGAGGAGGGCCAGGGUGGUUAGGUGGUGGCGGAGGAGGAGGUCCGGUGCGGCGCCAUCGCGGCGGAUGGGCAGAGGAGGAGGUCCGGUGUAGCGCCGUGUUGGCGGAGGGAGCCGGGGUCGGCGGGGUGGCGCUGGAGGGGUGGAGGAGGAGGGUUGGGUGGAUAAGGUCGGGAGGGAGGUGCCGAUCGGAUAAGGAGAGAAGGGAGGAAAAGAAAAGAAGGGAGAAGGAAAGAGAAAUAAAAAAGAAAGAAAAAGAAAAGAAAAAUGAGGAGAAAAAAAAGAAAAGAGAAAAAAUAUAAGAGUAUUUUGGACAUUUGACACCUUCUUUCCAAUCUAAAAAGCCAGGAGAAGCUGAGCUAGAGCAAAAAAAAAUCUGUUUCAUUCCAGAUGCGCUAGAGCCAGAGCUGUUUUUUCACGAGCCAAAGUCGUGCCAAACGGACCCUAAAUCGUCAGGCUCGCCUCAUGAAUCACCUUCUCUUCUUCUCCGUGUUCUUCCCAAACCGUCUCCUUGUCGACCUCCAGCAACCCCAAGCGUCUUCCCUUGUGUCGCGAAGAUGCACGCGUGUCCUGUUCCUGCCGCUGCCCUGCUGUGCCCAGUCGUGCUACUUCUAGCUCUGCUUCCCAGUCCCGCCACCACCGCUGCCGCCCUGAACACGUCCAACCCCUGCGCGCCGGCGUUGUGCGGCGGCAUCAACAUCGCCUUCCCGUUCUGGCUCGCCGGCAAGCAUCCGCCGGAGUGCGGCUACAAGGCCUACCAGGUCACCUGCGACAAAGGCAAUCUUACUCUCAAGAACUCUUACUGGACGUACCAACUCCUGGACAUCUUCUACCAAAACAGCUCCUUCAGAGCCGACCUGUCUGGAGGCCUCUGCGACUUCAAGAAUUUCGUCAACGCCGCCUCCGACCUCGGCCUCUCGCCGUUCAAGAUUAGCCCCAAGAACCAGGAGCUGUUCUUCCUCUACGACUGCGAACUGCGGGGAAGACACGCACCUCGUUCUUGGACGCUCGUGAACUGUUCGUCGCCGGAUGACCCACCGUGGGCGUUUGCCUUGCUUGGGAAGAAUUACACGCCAGGUGGCACUGGGAUGCCACCGCCGAUGAAUUGCAACGUGUCGACGACUCCGGUGCUGGGAUACGAGGGAGCGACGGGGGCAGACUAUCAACGGCUGCUGAAGGGUGGUUCUCUGCUCGAGUACACGGAUGAUGAGCCCUGCAAGGAUUGCACGGAUACCGGCGGCCGGUGCCGGGUUAAUGUAUCCGACGAUGCGUUCGCGUGCUACUGCAACGACGGUGACGACGGCUGGUUUAUUUGCGGUGAGUAUGUUUAUGCUUAUGAUUUAGAAUUCAUUCUGCUUCUUACUGUUUCCUUCAUCUUGCGUUGCCUCCAUAUUCGACUCGAACCAACGUGCUUAAGCCUAGUAUAUUAGCACAACACAUGUCACUUGCCCAUUAUACAAUGUCAAUGGAAUGCAUUGGAUGCAUACUAGUAGCCAUCAUUCUAUCGACAUGGUAAACUCCAUUUUCAUUCUUUCUUCUCUAUUAAUACAUACCAAGCAGAGUCCUGCUCCUGCAAGCUGUUUCGGAAAAAAGAAGAAUUGGUAACAUCCAAACUAGCAAAGGUGCUAACACUAAAAAAUGUUAAAGAAAUCUUGAGAGAGAGAGAGACGACGAUUAUGCAAAUGCAUCCGCUGUGCAUCCGCUGUAAAUUAACUCCGCCGGCCGCCAUCGCAGUCGAUCUUGACCUCUGGGCUCAUCGUGUCCUUGGAACACGGACACAGAUGUGGCGUACCUUAUUUUGUAACAUAACUUAAGUACUCUCGCCUCUCCUACCCCCACAUCGCAAACAUGUCAAUUACAUGGUCGUAAAUAAUGUAAGGUAACAUAAUACAAAAUAGAAUAAGAGAUUCUGAUGGUCAAGGUGUAGCCUUAAAUACCACAAUGAGGCAAACUGCGGCAUGCGUCAAGUGUAUCAUCCACUAUCAAUGCAUCUCCUUUGUCAAUUGUCGCUUCCAGCUCUAAUAAAAAGGAAGGGCAACAUUAUACACACAAGAAUGGCAGAUCAUAGAUGUCAACUCAGCGGUGUAGCAUAUUAUUUGAAUUUUAUUUGCAAAUUCGGAACUGUCAAAUAUGUCACUCAUUCCUUCCUUUAAGCAAAAGAAUCAAUAAGUGCUAUUUGAUGCUUUUCUAAGCUAAUGCUAUUUCAGGUAGCAAAAGGAUUGGCACGAAGAUAAUAAUAAUGAUAGGUAUGCUACACUUAACAUAAUUUCAUAUCAAGCAAUUCAAAUUUCAGUACUUAUAUACUGCAACAAGUUACUUUUUUAUUUUUAGUCUUCGGAAGACCAGAGAAGAGCUAUUAUAACAUUUAUCAUAUAUGAUCCUGCAUAGAUUCUAAAAUGAAAUUUUAGAACAAGUUAUCCACAAUCUGUGUCUUCUAUUAUAAAUUAGGCAACUUUGAGCAAGAUUCACUGUCCUUAAUUAUAUAGCUUCUUAAUAUUUUCCAGCUAUGCACUUCUUCUUUUAUUUUAUUUCUAUAAAAAGAGAUAACAACGGAUUUUAAUGAUCUUGGAAAUCCGAAUGAUAAUAAUAUAGCAGCUCACCGUUUCAAGAGAAAAAUAACAUCUGCUUUAAUUUCAGUUUGGAUGACAGUAGCUGCAAGCUUGCUCCUACCAUGUAUAUAUGUGCUUGUAUGGCAUAGAAAGAGAGGAAAGCUACAUUUUUUCUUAUGUGAAAAGACUAGCAGAAGCACUCAAAGGAACAUUGAGGCCCUAAUAGUUUUGCAUGGAUCCCUAGCUCCAAAAAGAUACAAGUAUUCAGAAGUAACAAAGAUAACGUCUUCCUUUAGUAAUAAGCUUGGGGAAGGUGGUUAUGGUGCAGUUUUCAAAGGAAGGCUAGAUGAUGGUCGUCAAGUUGCUGUGAAAUUCUUGCAUGAUUCCAAAGGAGAAGGGGAGGAGUUUGUUAACGAGGUUAUGAGCAUUGGUAGGACCUCUCAUGUUAAUAUUGUUAACUUAUUUGGGUUUUGUUUGGAAGGCUCAAAGCGGGCCAUAAUAUAUGAGUACAUGCCCAAUGGUUCUUUGGAUAAGUUCAUAUACUCAGAGAAUCCUAAAGCAGUUUUAGGAUGGGAUAAGCUCUACACAAUAGCGAUUGGAAUUGCUCGAGGAUUGGAAUACUUGCAUCACAGUUGUAAUACACGCAUUAUCCAUUUUGAUAUCAAGCCUCAAAAUAUCCUUCUAGAUGAGGAUUUUCACCCAAAGGUUGCUGAUUUUGGUUUGGCCAAAUUAUGUCAUACCAAGGAGAGCAAGCUUUCUAUGGCUGGUGCUAGAGGAACAGUUGGUUUCAUCGCUCCUGAAGUGCACUCUCGAACCUUUGGAGUUGUUUCAACUAAAUCAGAUGUUUAUAGUUAUGGAAUGAUGCUAUUAGAGAUGGUUGGAGGCAGAAAAAAUGUGAAUUCAAUUGCUCAAAAGUCAAGUGAAAAGUAUUUUCCACAUUGGAUUUAUGACCAUUUUGGUCGAGGUGAUGGAUUACAAGCAUGUGAUGUCUCAAGUGAAAAUGAAGGAAUAGCCAAAAAGAUGAGUGUGAUUGGCCUGUGGUGUAUCCAAAUACUACCAAUGCAUCGCCCUACCAUAACAAAGGUUUUGGAAAUGUUUGAGCGAGCUUUAGAUGAACUGGACAUGCCACCGAGGCAAAACUUCAGCCAAAUCCUGUAAGAUAUUUAUGAUACGUUUUGCUGCAGCUACCCUGCACCAUUUACCAAUUGAUGUAGCAACAAUUCUUUUAUUGUUUUGCAGCGAAGAUCCAAAUUACAAUUUGAAUGCACAAAGCUUGAGUACAAGCAGUGGUACCAAAACACAAGUUUUUAGCGAAGUGCUAAAGAUGAAGGAGAUGAGCUUAGAGAAUUCAAAACUCUUACAGCGGUUACCAACUCUGUGACAAGGUUACCUAGCAUUGGAAUUGAGCAUUGAACUUGUGCAUGUGUAUUGGAGGGGGUAGAAAUCUUAAGUUACUCAAAUACUUGUCUCAAAACAAAAUGCUAAAUGCCUACUAUAUUAUUUUGCAGUCAAAGCCAUUAAGGCCCCAAGAGGGAAAGUUAUAUCUGCAAGUAUUCAUACGAUAUUUUUGACAUAAUCCUAACAUACUUAUAUCCUGUUAAUUAGAGCUUCUCGUUGUGCUUCACUGAUGCGCCAGCACCCCUUAUAGUCAUCCAACACCCAAACUUUACCCAAAAUCUCCUAAAUGUUAAUGACACAUCUGUACUGGAAUCAAUUAACAUUUGAAAAAUAUUCAUCAAGGCAUUACGCGUCCUAGAAAAAUCAAGACAUUCAGUUUUGAAGCUAUGACCUUAGUAGAGUCGAGCAGCAUAUAGUUGGAUCGUCCUGGAUUAAUGGCAUGCUGAAAUAUGAGGAUGGAGCUGAUGGUAGCCAUGACUGAGGUCGAAAAGGGCAUGCAUGUUGCUUGACUAUUUUUUUUUGAACGAAUGGGCACGAGGUUAUGCCUAUUUCAUUGAUAGAGAAGGAUAGUACACCCGGCUAGCUGGUUAGGAUACACAUGACUACGCAAUUACUCGCGAGAUGAAAAAACCGCUAAGUCCUUUGCGCCCGCUAUCAUCCACGCUCCGGCUUCUUCCUUGAUUUUCACGAAUAAUGCAAUGGUUGCCAUUUCCUUUUGAUUGAAUUCACACCUUUUGCUUUCCUUCCAGAUUUCCCAUAUGAUGAGCAGUGUAAUGGAGCACAUUUCCUUCCUUCCAGAUUUCCCAUAUGAUGAGCAGUGUAAUGGAGCACAUUUCCUUCCUAGGCGCUUCUGUUUUGGUAGUCAUGUUUAUCCACCAGUCCAGCGUGUUGUUGCUUUGUCGUCAUGCUGAGGGGUGUAUGCUUGGUUGUGCCGUCCAAUCCGCCACCAGGCUCCAAAUCCUUUUGGUGAAUCUGCAUUCGGCCAGUAGGUGAUGGGCUAUCUCUAUUCCGCAUCUGCAUAAAGGGCAUGAAGGAGAGUGUGGCCAUCCCCUACGCACUAGCCGAUCAGCUGACCACACUCGGUUUUGUAGUAUUAGCCAUGCAAAUAAUUUGCAUUUCGGCGGCGCCCAAUAGCGCUAGAGUGUUUUGCUAUGUGGUGUUUUGGUGGAUCCAAAAAAAUGUGCUUUGUACGCCGAGGCCGUCGAGUACUUGCCAUUCGCCAAACUUCCAGCAAAUACUGUCCUCCUGUUGUGGUUGUAAUUGGACCUCUGUAGUGAGUCACCAAAGCAUCGUAAAUUCUUGAAGGUGCAAUGGUGUAAUGCCACCGUGUAUGUUUAGGUCCCUGAUCCAGUUAUUCGCCUACAAGGCUUCUGCCACGCUUCUUUUUUCUUUUUGAGAUCGCGAAAAUGUUAGGUGCAAAGUCCUUUGGCCUACGGCCUUGCAUCUAGCCCGACUGCCAGAAGCUCGCCUUGUGGCCAUUCCCUACUGUGAUGUUCGUACAAGCCGUGAAUAGAAGUCUAUCAGUGUCAUCACAUGGUGUCUCCAUUCCGAUCCAUGUUUUUUGCUACUCCCAUUCAUGCCACAGCCAUAGUAAUCUGAGUGGUCUUGCAAACUUGCGUAGAUUAAGAACCCCCAGUCCUCCAUUUUCCUUUGGUAGACAGCUUCUAAUCCAAUUUAUACCUUGCAUUUGCCCCCAGUCAGUGCUUUGUCUCCUGCCCUCAAGAACUUUUUCCUUAUUUUGUCUAGAACGUCAAAGACUUUGUUUGACAUCUUGAGUACUGUCAAUAGGUAGAGCAGUUGUGCUGUUAGCACCGUUUUGGUGAGGCAGGUAUGCCCUACUUGGUUGAGAUUGCGGCCGAGAGCUUGCCUGCUGCUUUGUCGAUCAAAGGUUAGAAGUCAAUUUUCUUUAGUCGCCUUAUUGCGAGCGGGAGUCUGAGGUGUCUUAUCAGGAGUCCUGUUGUAGUUAUUGGGAGCCUCGAUAGGAUUUCCUCCAGGUUGACACACUCACAGCUUAUUGGAGCCACACUUGUUUUUUGAAGGUUUGUUCUCAGUUCGGUUGCCUCGCCAAAAAGGCUCAAUAGUUGUGUGGCAUUCGCAAUGUCUGCAGCUGUUGGCUUUAUGAAGCUAACUGCGUUGUCAGCAUAUAUUGAGAUACAUGCGUGUGCUACUCGCCCCUCCAGCUUGCUUAGUAGGCCUAAGUCCGUUGCUUUGUGUAUUAGCUGGUAUAGUGGGUCUAUCGCCAGGAUGAAGAGGAAAGGGGACAAUGGGUCUCCUUGUCGUAGGCCGUGUCUAUGCACAAUCGAGUCUAACAGGAUGUCGUUCAAUAGAAUUUUUGAAGUGGAUGUGGUGAGCAUUGUCGUGAUCUAGUCCCGCCAUCUUGGGGGGAAGCCUCUGUGCUAGAGUAGUGAGAGUAGGUAGUCCCAAUGCACCGAGUCGAAGGCCUUUGAGAUGUCCAGCUUCAUUAGUAAAGUAGGUGCUUUGUUCCUGUGGAAUCGAUGGCUCAUAUUCCGAACAUACAAGAAGUUGUCAUGGACACUUCUUCCUUUGAUAAAGGCACUCUAACAUGGCGAUAUUAGUGCUUCCAUAAAUGGCGCUCGACGUAGCGCAAGUAUUUUACUGAUGAUUUUGGCGAUGGCGUGUGUUAGGCUGAUUGGUCUGAAGUCUUGGAUGCUUUCGGCCCCCUCCUUCUUGGGGAGUAGUACUACUGUAAUGGCCUCGGAUAAAAAUCCUUUGCGUCAAUCUUAAUCCGAGUCCCUUAUCACCUGUCUCAGUUUUCCCAGCCUAAGUGUUCAACCUCCAGAUCUCCCGACCCCUUCGAUCCGACCCCUCGCCGUGUUUCCCGAGUUCCGACCCCGCCGACCCCCAACCCACCGUCGGAUCUUUCUAAGCCAUCCCACAGCGUCGCCCUUCAAUUCGAGCCGUGGACCUCCGAGACUGACCGGUGGACCCACGAGAUCUUUCUUCCAGAUCUCCCGCGACAGGCGCACUCGAGUUGCAUGCCCGCUUCAGAAUUCCCCAGCCGCGUGGCUCAACUCCUCCGACGCCCGCCGUUCCACCUCGUCGCCGGCCACGACCGGAUGGAUUCUCGCGCCCCCUUCCCCAAUCGCGGUAGAAGCUCCUCUGCUACCCUUUCUGCAGCACCUCGCCGCCCGCGCCCAUCAUCACAUCGCCAGAUCCCGGCUGCAGAGCCCGAUGCCGCCCGUCUUUUCCGUCACCUCUCCACAGUCGCGCCGCCCCGGUCCUCGCUACGCGACGAUUCCUCCUCCGCCAACCCAGACCGCGGCAGCGACAGCUCCUUUUCCCGCCUUGUCAGAAGCUCCUCCCCGACAAUCUGUUGCUCCGCGCUCGCCCGCGCGACCGCAGCCGCCUGUCUUCUCACCUGUGCGCCCUCGUUUCUAGCGUCGUUUUCCCAGUCACUUCCAUCAGAUCCACCGCAUGACGACGCCCACCUCUGCCAAAUCUCAACCACCGGCAAACCCGCGCCUACGCCGCCCUGACGUCAGUGCCCAAUAACCGCCGGUGUCAUCCCCGAUUCCUGCUCCACCGCCCUCGUCGCUCAAUCGUCGCCCCAGCAGGGCACUCCAUCGCUUCUUCCCCGGCCUUUGCGCCGCUUCCCCCUUCCCUCUUCCGCGCAGCUAUAAAAUGGAAUGCCGGAGCCCCGCCGGAGUUCCCCUUUGCCAUCGCUGCCCUCUCUCUUACUCCCUGUUCGUGCUCACAGCGCCACCACCUAAGUCUGAGGAACUCUCCUCUCCGCGCAAACACCACCUUCCCCGAAUCCACCAGCCACUGCUUUCAGUGCUGCCCCAGAGCUUGCUUGUGAUCCACAAGAAGCACCGCCGCCGCCGGAAUACCGCCGGACAUCCUCGCCGCUGUCCCAAGCCCCUUAGUCCUUCCGCCCAAGCCUCCUCUGUAAGAUGAAGGUAAGCUGCCGACCCUUUUGUCCGUCUCGCCCGACCCCCCCCCUAUCCGCCCGACCCCGGUUCCGUCUCGCCCGACCCUGUCUGUUCCGCCGACCCUUCUCCACCUCGCCCGAGGGCUCGGCUGUAUCUUUUUCCUUGAACCGAGGGUAUAUGUGUAAAACUUGGGGACUUUUCAGCGUUAAGUCUGAGGAUCCCUAGCACAUCUAUUCCUCUAGAUUAAGGGUCUGAUCAUAAGUUCCUUCCCAUCCGACCCUCAUAUCUUGAUCUCCAUCAACUCAAGCGAACCUCCCCACCCUCCUGUAACUUGCCGCAAAUUUCUGGGCUCAAACUUGCAAGUGUUGCUGUUGAAAUAACCGUCUAAAUGCUAACCAAUGCAUUGCAUUCGUGUAGAGCUGCGUCUCGCCGACGGCUUCUACGAGUUGCACCCGACGCCAGAAGAAGAAGGUGUAGCCGAGCUCCUGCCUCCAGAAGCCGAAGCUGCCCAAGCAGACGAGCAGUUUCCCUCCUCCUUGCUCGAAGGCAAGCCCUGGAUGCAUGAAUUUCCCUAUGUUUUUUACCAAACUUGCGCAUGCCUUCUUUAUCAUGCUUGUGCAUUUACGUAUAGGAGUUGUUUGGAACCAUAGAUGCAUAACUUAGCUUCCUUGAUCUGAACACUAGCUGUUGGACCGGGUAGAUGCUUUGCUUAAAUAGGAAACGGUAAAAGCCGAGUGAUUUCCUAUCACUCGCGAGUUGUAGGAGUUGGUUGUUUCCCCUUCUGUUACAACUAUAAGGAUGAUGGACGGGGCAGGGUUUUGGGUAACUUUUUGGUGGUCGGUUGAUCGCCCCGUAUGUCUAUGAAACUUGCUAAGGCCCGACAGUGGUGGUGUUUGUGAUCAAGUGUUUGAAAGUACUAAUCUCAUACCUAGUAUGGGAUGGGGAAGCCUAGUACCUGAUUGAACUAGAGCGUGGCUUAUACCCCUGUUGUCCCUGGAAUAAGGUUCCCAUGGUGCAUCAUGUGGGUGCAAGUGUGGUCACAGUACGGUAGAGGCCGGGACUGUGGAGCAUUGCAUGCCAAGGGAAGUUUGGACCUGACACGCGCCUGGGAAUUGAUGGGGACGGCCGACACAGGAAGCGACCCUUGUGGUGCGCGGAUAUCGUGAGAUUAGGUUCGCCAUGCAUGGUUAAGAAACUCGAAAUCGAUUCGUCUGCCUCUCACAGUUUGAGAUUGCUUGAUCGCUAUGUCAUCCCGAGUAAUAAAGGAAUCUGAUGAUGACAUGGUUUGUGAUGAUAUGUAUAUAUACCCUUGGUUGGUUCUAUGGUUGCUUAGAAUAAGUUGCUAACUUAGACUGGAUAAUGAACUUAGAACCUGAGCUAAAACUUUGAAAGUAGGGAUACACCUAGUGCUUUUGGCAAAGCAAACCCCUCAGCCAAAAAGCUUUGCAUGUCUAGAAGAAGUGGGGUAGCGUACUCCCUGUCGGUUAAGUCUUGUUGAGCUUAGUAGCCCAGCCUUGUUGUGGCUCUUCUUUUCAGGUGAAGUUGCUGCCUCUGAGCCUCCCUCUGCUGGCACUUGGCCGCCCCAACUCCCUCCGGGUUGGACGGUUGAGUGGGAUCCCUCCUUGGACGGCGAGGAGAGGGAUCACUGAUGUCCCGGUGGGCCUCACCAGGGAUGUCCGACCCCGACGAGUUAGCUUCCGCUAGUUGUUACCUUCUGUUGUUUCUCUUCUGAACUUGUAAACUCUGAUGUUGUUUUAUGGCCAAACUAAAUGGUUAAUUUGAUAACUCGGUGGACUUGUUGUAUUCUCUGGAACCGCUCACCUUCGUGUGGGUUUGCUAUUCGGUCCUAUUCAAGUGGUUAAAUCGGAUGAACUCCAACGGCACUUCAUGUUUACUCGGUUUAGGCGUGAGCGUCGCGUAUCAUGCGGCUUAAUCAUGUUUAACCAAGUAAAUUCGAAGUGGAUCCGCCACAACUACAUUAGCUAUGUUGAGGAGGUUGAGGUCUUUGCAACGAAUGUUGUGGAAGGCAUUAACGGCCAUUGUGACAUCACCUUUGAUUAUGUGCCAACACGAUUUGAAGAAAAGGCCGGUGAAGCUGUCCGGUCCUGGCACCUUGUUCUUUGGAAGCUCUAUGAUUGCAUGAAGUAUUUCUUCCUCUGAAAAGGGGCUAUCAAGCGCGCGUAGAUCCACCGCUGGAAAGUCCAUAAUCUCCCAGUUUAGGUCUCUAGUGCGAUGCUGCGGCAAGCACAUCAUGUUCUUAAAGUGGUCUUGAAUUACCCUUUGCUUGUCUUGGUGGGUUAUUGCCCAGCCACAUUCCUUCUUUAACCUCUGGAUGAAGUUUUUCCUUCUUCUAGCGUUCGCCUUUAGAUGGAAGAACUUUGUAUUUGCGUCUCCCUCGCAUAUGUAGGUGAUUCUGGAGCAUUAUUUUUUUCUUGUUUUUUCAAUAGCCGCCCUCCCAAAAGCCUCCUUUUUAGCUUAUGACGCAAGGAGUAUUCUGCGUUAGAUAGCGCUCUGGUCUCUUCAGCCGUGUCAAGGUGUACAAUGACCUCUUGGGCCAUGUGUAGCUUUAGUUUGGCAUCUGAAAUGAAUGACCUACUCCAUGCUUGAAGCGCGCGGGCAGUGGCAUGCAGCUUGUGCCCCAAUAUGUAAAAAGGCUCUGUGUGACUCAUCAGCUUGGACCAUUCUCGGGUGACUACUUCAUGGAAGCCAGGUAGGCACGUCCAGAAAUUUUCAAAUUUAAAAGGUGUCGGGCAUCUGGGCCCAGAUUGUUGCGCCAAUAGUAGCGGGCAGUGUUAGAGUGUGAGGAGGAAAGUGCAUGUAGGACAUGGUCAUUGAAGUAUAGAUCCCAGCUCUCAUUGCAGAAAACUUGGUCGAGCCAUAUUAAUGUUGGUCAACGCCUAGUGUUACUCCAGAUGUUGUGCAAAUGUAUUUCUUUUAGAUCGCAGUAAUUUAGUGCAGCUCUGAAAUGCCUCCUCAAUCGCCGAUUAAGAUUUCUAUUAUUCUUAUCUCUCGCCCUGUAAAUGAGGUCGAAAUGCCUAGGAUGAGCCAUCGCGUGUCGUCGGCCGGUCUCAUAGCACGUAGGUGUCGUAGGAAUGCAGGUUUUGCAACACGUCGUGACGGGCCAUACACUGUCGUUAGCUGGAAGGAUGAUGUGCUAUGCUUCACUACUGUUGUUGCCGAAAUGGAGAAUUGGCCAAUUUGAACAUCCUCUAUGUUGAUCACCCCGUUGUCCCAGAGGAUGAGGAUUCCUCCCUUUGUGCCUAGAGCUGGUUUGUAGGCAAAUUUGUUCAGGCCAUGCCCCCCAAGAAGGCAACUAGAUCCCCGUCGAUGUUUUGUAGUUUCAUUUCUUGCAAUGUGACAUGUUGUCAUUGCAAUUGUUUCACAAACCAUUAGACAUCUAGCCGGAGCAUUGAGACCUCGCACAUUCCACCACAUUACCUCAAAGUUGCCAAUCAUCUGGGAGUUGCUUUGUUCGCUGGCUUAAGUGUCACGAAUAGGCAAACAAAACAGUGCAGCGUGAGUUCAACUUGGAGAUCGCCUGAAGGUCAUGGCCAGCAGGGUGGAGUUUGUAGGUCAUGAAUUUUGCCUGAAGGUCGAUGCCAGCAGGGCUAGUCAAAUGUCCUCUCCGAAGGUCGCACCCAGCAGGGUGAGGAACUGAUGAUACAAUGCAAUAACGAUACAUUGCGUGCUAUUGACAUGCGUAGGUAGUGCGCCUUGUUUGGAUCAUCAUGGCACCACGUUCUACUUCUGCUGUAGGUCUUGUACCGGGUCGCCCACCAUCUGGAGAAGCGCUUCGUUCAUCUGGUCUGCUGCGUCAUCGUCGAGGUCGAAGAGAGCGGUCAUGGCUGCUAUGACGAACUCUGGAAGGCUCCCCUGGAACAUGCUGAUGAAGUCUUGGAGAACCUGCUCAAUUGGCGCCAAUUCGUCAUCACUGACGCUAAGCUUCCUCCUUAGGUUCCACUAUGCUCGCUCCAUAGUCGGCAUCGUCGGCUUCCUAGCUAGUCGCGCGCUUCGCCGCACCUCGUUCAUGUCAAAGGUGCAGUGCUAGCACGUGCGUCGCACUAGCUGUUGUUGUAGCGCCGGUGGUGCAGGGUUGCGAAAAGGUUCUGGACGUGCGGUGUCUGCGAGCAGCCGUUGACGGCCGGUGCUGGCUCACUAGCCGGAGGCACCAGGUGAUUGUCAUCUUCUACGCUUGCAGUUUCCCCACAUGGGACAGGCCAAGCAGCAUUUGCAGGCUUGUUGGGAGGCCCACUUGCCACGUUCACUGUAGGCAGGUUGGGAGGCCCGUUUAUGACAGCCUGCGUUUGGCCUGUUGCGACCUUUUGUGCCGAAGCUUUGUGGGCCUAUUGGCCCAACAUAUGGGCCUUCUUCGAGUAGGCCGCUUCCGUCAGGGCCUCCUAGCCCAGCCUUUCCGCUGUGUUCGAAGCUGUGUGGGCCUGUUGGCCUAACAUCUAUGCCUUCUUUGAGCCAGCCGCUUCCGCCAGGGCCUCCUGCCCCAGCCUUUCCGCCGUGGCCAUAGCAGAAGCAACCACCGGAGCCUCCUCUCUCGGUGUUGCAGCCGCAGCCACUGUGACGGCGGCCACCGCGACAUCGUCUCCCGGCCUCGCAGGCAUGGCCAUCGCAGCAAUGGUUGCCGAGCACUCCGCUCCUGGCGUCAUGGCCACGGCCAUAGUCGCCGCUGCCGAAGUUGUGAUCUCUAGGCAACGAAGAGCACGUUCGACAUCAGCGGUUGUUGGUGCCAUUACCAUAUUAAUUCUAUCAAAAACUCGGUUAGUAGAGAUUAGUGACUCACUAUGGACAGACCAGGUUCCAUUCCCGGUGAUGAGGUUCCAGCGUGCCGUGGCAGGGGCGUCGUCGAUGCCAAGCCGGUAAGCGAGGCGGCAUGCCUUGUCGAUGUAGCCCGCAGCAUCAUGAAGCCACACCUUCGCUAUGUCACCGAGACGUGCCUGCAUCCCUUUCUUGAGCGCCGAGGCCUGCGCACAAAAUAGAGCUUGCACUGUCGUAGGCUCCAUGGCUCUGAGCUCCUCCACAUUCGGCAAGGCAGGUGAGUUUGCAGAUGCGCAGCUCCCUCACUCCUGCGACGUCCACCAUGGAAUGCUCCGUCCCGGCGGCGUGGUGACCAUGUCGGCUCCCGCGCGCACGACAUCGUGCCGUUCGGGGUUGCGGUGAGUGCCACUAACCCCCCGGCCGGGGUGCGUGUAGUCGUCGCCGCUGCCGUCGUCGUCGUUGUCAUUGCGCUGAGGCUAAGUGAAUCCCCCUUCCUUGCAGGUGCGCCCAUCAGCGCGGCGCCUGCCGUCCCCACGCUUGUAGUCGCGCCUUCUGUCGCGCCUCUGCUUGCCAGCCGCUCACCUUUUGUCAUGCGGGUGCUCCUGGUCGCGGCCAUCGUGCUCGCGGGGUGGCUGAGAAAGGCGCACCGAGAACCUUGACCUUGUCUCCACUAGAGCUCCAUCCAUGAUGCCGUAGCGCCAAACGUAGGGACGUCAGAUCGGAGCGAAGGCGGCAGGGUUUGCCACCACGCCUAGCAGGUCAUGGGCUGCUGCCAAGUAGUCCUCAACGAGGCCAAUGUGAAGGAAAACCUCGUAGCGAAUUCCUUGCUGCUAGCGUUCCAGCAGCUCCUGUGACGCAGCUCCUGUGUGAUGAAGACCGUUGCCGUGGAUUUGUCGGAUGGCUUGUGGGUGAAGACUAGCCACAAGCGCUUGGGGAUCUGGCUCGGAUUGGCAAUCCACGCGUACAGGUCAAUAUGCCUCGUGUCCGUCGGUUGGACGAGGUCGGUGUUGAUGCACUGUAGGGCGCAUUUGCUACCAAUGACGCGUUCGACGAUGUCCGGCGUCCAAGCAUGGCUAGGGAUACCAUCAAAGUAGACCCUGUCGCAGUAGAAGAUCCACAUGCCCAGCGCGUGCGUGAGGCUGCGCCAGCGCUGCAGGCAAAUGUUGAUGUCAUUGCCCUAGAAUCUACCUUGUCGCCUUGCCUCAUCGCACUUGUCGUUGUGCUCGAACCGGAUUAGGAAUGGCUCCGGUUGGUUGCUGGUGAUGGUGAUGGUGCCACGGCGCAGCUGCAGCUUGUUGAGCAGGAGGGUUUCAAUGUCCUGAGCCCCAGCGCACCGUGGCAGGUGGAUUGCCCACGAGACCAGUGUGCAUCCCUCCAAGCCACGGGCAUCCUGUUCGAGGUUGAAGGAGUUGGGGAUGAAGACCGUCCCACAUCAGGACGUGUGUAGGGUCUCCAAUCGCCAUCGGCUUGACGCCCGGGUGCAGCGACAGUGGCGGCGGUGGAUGAGGCGUAGGAUAUGACGGUUGAGGCAGCGGGGGCAGAGGAGUUGGUGGCGGUGGAUGAGUUGUGGCCCGGCGCACUGGGGAGUUGAUUUGCUGGUGUCAGUGGUCCGGAGUCGGGGUUGGGCGUUGCUGACGGCGGGCAUGACAGUGGCAUUCCCGGUACCCCGACCGGCGACAGCAGAAGCACCAAACUGGGUCUCUGCAAGCAGACGCGCGAUGGUCCCAGGCGAGGCAGUUGAAGCACCUCCCCGCGGUGGCCAGAUUGAAGGCUUGGAGAGUUGCGGUUGGCCGGCACCUUGAAGAUGGCCUUGAAGAGGGGUCUUGUCGGCCGUCGCGCUGGCGUGGGCUGGCACGCUCAAGACGCAUUGAAUGUCGUCUGUGGCCUCGUACCACUAUCCAGCCCGACUCCAUGCCAUGUCUUGUACUGCCUCCUGCUCGAGCAGUCUCCUCGGCUCCGGUGGAUUUGGGCCUUGUUUACUUCCCAAGUUGGGAGUUGCAAAAUUGGCAUUUUGCUAUAAAUGCGACACUGUAGCGUUUCGUUUGUAUUUGUGAAUUAUUGUCCAAAUAUUGACUAAUUAGGCUCAAAAGAUUCGUCUCGCAAAGUACAACAAAACUGUGCAAUUAGUUUUUGAUUUCGUCUACAUUUAGUACUCCAUGCAUGUACCGCAAAUUUGAUGUGAUGGGGAAUCUUCUUUUUGUAUAGUGUUAAAGUUGGGAGUUUGGAGGGAAGUAAACAAGGGCUUAGAUGUGGGGACGGCGUGGUGGAGUAAAGGCUGUAGCAGGGAGAUCCUGGUGCGCAGGUGAGCGGCGAGCUAGCGGAUCUUGGGCAGGCGGUGGAGUAAAUGCUGUUGACGGGGGGCCUGACCUGCCGCGGCGGACGGCUUCCGCGUAGGUGGAAAGGGGUUUUGGCGUGGCCAGCACCGGAUCCAGUUGGGGGGAGCACGGAUCCGGCGUGGGUGGCACCCAAUCGACCUCGUCGGUCAGCGGGCAACCAUGGCGUGGCGGCAGAGGUGGGGAAUCGAGGAAGAAGCUCUCCCACGGGCUUUGCUGCGCCAGGGUGGAGGACGCGUGGAUCUGCUUUGGUGCAGUUUGGUGUUGUGGCUGGCGGCUCAGGAUCUUUGGUGGGGUGGGCGGGUUGGGCUCCGCCGUCCGCCGGCGGCGAGGGGACGACGACGGGAGGGGUAGCGGGUUGGGGGCGCACAUUUGUCUCUGCAGGAUACCGGUCGGGGGCGCACAUCCUGUCAAACGCCUUGCAUUGCUGCUUGCUUGACUAUUUGAGUUAGGUUCCAAAUACCGGUGCAUCAAUUUUAAUUUUUUCUGAGUAAUUAUUCAGGUUCCUACCAGAAGUUAACCUUUAAGGUUGACAGUUGAUACCCACAUCUAACUGAACCAAAAAAAAUCUACUUAAUCCAAAUGCACAUGAUCUCAUUGCAAAAUCGGAGUACGUUUCUCAAACAGUAUAAGCACCAAAUCAAAUUGAUGUACGCAUCUGAGUAUCUGACUCAACUUAAAAAUCACAUCUGUGAGUAAAUACACGGAAGAACGGAGCAGUCGAAGUGCAUGAUACUUACAUGGUUCCUUAAUACCUGAUGCUUCUCCGAUUCUCCCAAAGCAACAAGGCUAGAGCAGGCGGGCGUACCCAAGGAACUACCCAAUAGUGGCGCGAGAUUGGAUCCUGCAGUCCUCUCCAUCUGCAGCCCCAAUCACCGGCACCGAGUCGGCGAUGCGGCAAGGCGUAGACUGGGGAGAUUUCCUCAUGGGAUAGUACCAGCUGCGAGUGCGCCGUAGGAGAUGGCCGAGAAUGCAGUGGCUGGGGAUGGUUCUGUUCACCGCCGCGCAUCUCGACGGACGACGGCGAGACGGGUAGACGACGCCGGCGCAGGGCGGAUCUCCAUGGACUAGGCCACCAUGCUCUACGCAGCCGAGCCCAUUCAGUGGUGAGGGCCCAUCAUCAAAAGUUGGACCGUGAUGCGUCCUGGGUCCAUCCAUAUGCCCGCCGUGCCGUAAACUUGUGCCGGUCUGAGCCAGACAUCUUCCAUCCCGUUGCUUUGCCUUCGAUGGCUCAAUAUACAAUCUGUCACAAUUCAGUCCAAAAAAAAAGAAAAAGAAAGAAAAGAACACAAUUUGUCAGAGAAAUUCCACACUCUUAUUGUAAAACUUGGUGCUGCAUUGUAAUUAUCCGCGCUCUGCAGAUUCCGAUAGACGUCACGUCACUACUUGAGAAGGUUGGUAAGGUGUUUUUUUUCCGCGAUCAUACCUUAGCACGUAUUUCAUUAAGAGAAGAAGAAAAGUUUGGUUACAAGAACUUGCAGCGUCAUCUGAGAUUGAUGACCUGCUAGCGCAUACAAGAAUUAAGAAGAAAUUACAUUUGCACCUUGCUGCGACCCUACUAACAGGUUACCAGGUAUGAUGUUGGGGUGGGCGGCUGCUGUAAAUGGCGCCAGGCAAUGAAAUCCUGCCAAAAUGGACAGCAUCCCCGUCGUCAUCUGAGCAUGAUUGAAAGUUCUUUCAUUUCUUUCCAACCAAAUGGACCAACCCACCAGGAUAAUGAGAGAGUCUAAUGUUUUCCUGGCUGACCUAUCCACACGUUUUCUCACUACUAGCCACCAGUCAGGAAAGGAGGACUCAGAAACAGAGGGUGCUAAGUGCUGCCAAUUCAGUUCCGAUAGAAUAAGAUGCCACAACUCCCUUGCAUAGACACACCUAACUAGCAGAUGGUUUAUGGUUUCAGACUCCUGGGUACAAAGAAUGCAAGUGUCGUCAUUUUAAAGAUUAUGUUUCUUGCGUCUAGAGGCUGUCCAGCAGCGUCCAUUGAUAGCAAGCCAUAUGAAGAAUUUGCAUUUAGGGGGUGCUCGGGUCUUACACAAAGCCUUUGCCCCAUGUAUUUCAUACUGUCCAAUGAAGAAUGCAUUGUAGGCCGAUGCCGUUGAGAAGUUCCUGUCUUGAGUCCAUUUUCACAAUACCUUGUCAAGUGUAUCCUCCUGUAAUGUGAUCUGUUGUAACUUGGUCCAAAUGCUUAUGUAUUCAAGAAGAACUCGAACAAUCAAUGCUCCAGUAAUGUCCCUGACCCAUUUUCCAUCUUGCAAUCCUUCACUUACUGUCCUUUUUUUUGCGAGCUCUAGGACCAAUCGCCUGAAGGAGACAUGGAGCAAUCUCUGCAAUCGAGCGACCGUCAAUCCAUCUAUCCUCCCAUAAAAGGAUGUUCUUGCCGUCGCCUACUUGAGUUGAGGUGGAGUAGUAGAACAAUUGGGCGACCUGCUGUUCAAUUGAAUCAGGUAAGUUAUGCUAUGAACGUGAAGUGUCAAUUUUCUUAAGCCAGAACCACCGCAUUCUUAGAGCAUAUCCCAUGAGGCGUAGGUCCGUAAUUCCUAGACCUCCCAAAAUAGAAGGUCGACAGCAUUUCGUCCAUGCAAGGAGACAAUGACCGCCAGAAAUCAUUUCUGUACCUUUCCAUAGAAAGGCCUUCCUGCGCUUGUCUAUUUGCUUGAUUGCCCAUGAAGAGAUGGCGACCGCGAUAGCCGUGUGAAUUGGAAUGGCUGACAUUUUUACCUUAACUAAGACUGUGCGUCCUGCCCUGCUCAUUAGCUUCGCCUUCCAUGUGGGCAAUCCAUCACAAACCUUAUCCACCAACUGCAUCAGGUCAUUCCUGCGAAGCUUUUUGACUGACAGCGGUAUUCCCAAGUACUUGCAUGGUAGGGGUUCGAGAUGACCGGGGAAGAAUUUGAGCAGCCUGAUUAUCUGUUCCAGGUCGCAUUGUAUGGGAGAGACAAGGCAUUUGUCUAGGUUUGUUUUAAGACCGGAUGCAGCUCCAAAGGUUGGUAAGGUGUUGGUUUCAGAAAACUGGUGCAUACGGUGCUAGUCCUCUCCUGUGAUUGCACUCAGCUCGUCCUCCGAUUCUGAUGGCUCUUGGAGUGGUCGACGUCGACGGUGUUGUUGCCCCAGACCGUCUCCACGGGCCUCCCGGCCGCCGCCGAUCUCCCAGACCAUGUUGAUUUUGUAACUGCACCAAACCGCACCGAUCAGCUUUAUUUAUACACUGAUUUAUAACUGAAGGCUUCCUCUGAGAAAUCAAGGGAGUGGUAUGGAUUUGCGAAAUGGGACUCAUCCAUCGGACUGGGACUGCACAAGUUUGCAUUUAGAAGAGGGAUCAGGGAUGGAUGCAUAUAUAUAAUCUUUUUUCCCUAGUACAAUAGUCAGCAACAUGAGUGGAUGCUCAUAGCAGGAUUUGGCAUGUCCAUCUGCUAGUUGCAUGGCUUAUAAAUCCACUGCAUCUUGGCAGCACAUUGGCGUUGCUUUAGUCCUGCCCCUAUCGAUCCUUCGUAGGUCCCUUGCAUUUGUUUUCUUGCAUUGUAUUAGUAUAAAAAAAACAAGUUCUGGUUCUGCUCGUGCAACAAAUAGUCAUAGAGAUACUUUGACGUGGAAUAGUCAGAUUAGACUGACCAACCAGCAGUGUUGGAGGAGACUAGACUUGGACCUACUCCCGGCUCCCACACGGCCACGGAAAUUGAAUUAAGUUUCUGUCAGUUCAGCUCAGAAGACUAACCUGUCAAACUUCGCCUACAACAGUUGCAUUCGUCGAACCAUCAUCAUUCGCUGACUUACCACUUUCAUAACUUUCUCAGGGAAAAAUAAAACCAGCCACCAACAUGGUCUGGUGAUUGCCGGCUUCUCCUCUGCGGCACCUUGUUAGCACACUUGCAGUCCCUCCUAUCGCGUUGCAAAGAUGCAACCGUCCCUUGCUCCUGCAGCCGCCGUGCUACUGCUCGCUCUGCUAACCAGUCACACCGCCACUGCUGCCGUAAACACGUCGACGCCGUGCGCGACAGCCUCGUGCGGGAACCACACCGUCGACCUGAACACGUCGACGCCGUUUGCGCCGGCGCUGUGCGGGAACCUCACCAUCGCCUACCCGUUCUGGCUCGCCGGCACGCAUCCGCCGGAGUGCGGCUACAUACAAGGCCUUCCAGGUUACGUGCGACAAGCAUGGCAACCUUUCCAUGACGACGAACUCUCGUAGAAAUAUGAGAGAAGUUGGAUUACAAUGCGACCGUGUCCUCGUAUUUAUUUAUAGGGGAGCGAGCACCUUACAUAAUUACAACACCCAGUUCUAUUUAUAGAGGAGCUCGAAGAGCACUGAACCGUCAAAUAUUUCACUCAUUCAUUCCUUUUAGCAAAAGAAUCAAUUAGUGCUAUUUAUGGAUUUUCUAAAUUAAUAUUCUAUAUGGUAUUUCAGGUGGCCAUAAUGGCAGGAUUACAAUACUGAUAGGUAUAUGCCACAAUUCGACAUAAUUUCAUAUCAAGUAAUGCAAAUUUCAGUACUUAUUUAUUGAACAAGUUACUUUUUAGUUCUAGUCUUUGGAAGACCAUAGAAGAGCUAUUAUAACGUUAUCAUAUAUGUUUGUGCAUAGACUCUAAAAUGAAAUUUUAGAACAAGUUAUCCUCAAGCAGUGUCUUCUAUUAUAAAUUAAACAAUUUGGAGCAAGAUCCGUUGUCUUUAAUUAUAUAGUUUUUUCCUAUUUUCCCACUAAGCACUUCUUCUUUUAUUUUAUUUCCAUAAAAAGCGACAGAAACGAAUUAUUUCUGAUCUUGAAAAUCUGAACAAUAAUAAUAUAACUCACUGCUUCAAGAGAAAAAUAACAUCCGCUUUAAUUUCAGUUUUGAUGACAGUUGCUACAGGCUUGGUCCUACCAUGUGUAUAUGUGCAAGCUUUGCCUCCCCUUGCACACAUCCCCAUUCCCCAAUCCCCUCCAUUCCGCAGCCUCCUAGCUCCUAUACUGAUCGAAAAACAAGCUUGAUGCAUCCGGCCCUGGUCCUCUUCCCGCUGGCCGCCUCCUUGCUCCUCCUCCAAGACCAUGCAAGCGCCGACUGCGAGCCGGCGACAUGCGGGAACCUCACUCUCAGAUACCCAUUCUGGUUGGGCAGCGGCAACCAGACCUCAUCACCCUGCGGCCACCCGUCCUUCGAGAUCCGGUGCAGCGACGACCGCCGCCGGAGCGUAGCCUCACUGAAGGGCUCCUCCAUCCACGUCCUCUCCAUCGAUUACGCCAACUACUCCUUCGUCGCCUCCCACACCAGGGUCGCCGCCGCCGACGGCGUGUGCCGCACCGACUUCAACAUGUCGGUCAGCAUCGCGAUCAGCCAGUUCACCAUUAGCCCCCGGAACCGCGCCCUGUGCUUCCUCUACAACUGCACCGGCGGCGCGGCCCCGAUCGGGCCCGACGAGUACGUGAACGCCACCUCCAGCUGCCGUGCCCCCAUCUACGCGUACCUCGGCGGGGCCUACUACUGGGACAAGCCGCCGGCGAUCGCGACGGACGGGUGCACGUACACGUACUUCCCAGUGCUGGGGCGGGAGCCGGAGACCAUGACGGCGGCCAACUACAGCCAGCUCCUGAAGGACGGAUUCGUCCUGGAGUGGGAGGCGGCAGGGAUCGGGAUCGGCGACUGCGCCGCCUCCGCCUGCAACGCGAGGGGCGGGAAGUGCCGGUACGACAACGCCACCGCGGCGUUCCAAUGCCUCUGCCCCGACGGCUGGCGCGCGGCGGGGUCGACAUGCUCCGGUGAGUUGUCACUCUCCCACUUCCCUCCGUACACGUACAGUAGUCAGCGUGUGUGGACGCCGGCGGGCGACCCGGCGCAUGCCGCUUUCAGCUGCAAGACUUUCUUGGUCCAUUGCAUCAUGCGGAUUGCGGCGUGGCGAAGGCGCAGCGGCGCUGGCGCAUGCAUCGGCGUCGCGGUAGUGCUGCCCAUGGGGUUGGAUCCUCGUAGGCCCCAUGGAGAUUUUGCACGCAGCUCUCGCUCUCAGUAACCUUGGCUAGUUUCCCUCGAUCCACCGGUAGAAUGGCCCGCGGCAGCUGGAGUGAUGGCUAUCUUAAGACUGUGUGGCGCGCGGACUGGCCACGCCGCAAUCCCUGGUAAACGCGUGUGCGGUCAAUGUCGUCUUCCCUGCCGGGUGCUCGCCGCGGCGCGGAGCAACAGGGGAGGGGGCCUGCCGCUGCCGGGCGUCGUUUUCGCCUGCCAUUAGCUUCUCCACGUGCUCUUUCGCGCAUGAUCGUUCCCGUUGGUGCGCUGACACAUCAACGGUAGGGUAUAUCAUCACUUGCCUCAAGCUUCAGCUUGAUCCAUAUCUUAUUGCUAUUAGUAGGUUGCCGUUAGCAUUGCUGACUUGCUGUCUUUGCUGAAGUGUCCAUUUGUGGCAAGUGGGUGCACUAAGUGCGUAAGGCUAGGGUCACAAGUGGCCACCAAAUCUGCACUUCUGAUUUUCUAGUCAAAAUAAUAAGGGGCACUUUUUAUGGACAAGUAUCUCAAGUAGGUUUACAUGAUAGUCUUUGGAUCCCAGUCCAAAUUACAGGCAAAUAUUGUCUUGCAGUGUUUGAUUUAUAAAUAUGAACAAAAAAAUCCAAAUUGCCAUAGGCUUUGUUCAUAAGCUUAGAGCUUGGAGCUUUGCCGUAAAAAAGCAGCAUGAAUAACCAUUUAGAUGGAAUGCAUAAGAAAAACACAUGACUUUGAGACGAGAGAAGAAAUCAAAAUUUUAGUGUGACAUUGAGCCUCAUGGUAGAAUCCCUUCAAAAUUCCAAUGGAAUACAACAAUUUAUAAGAAAAUUCUAGGAUACAUAGGAGCCCGUUAUUUGGUUACACAUAUUACCAUGAUGUCAACAGAAUUUGUAUAUAUCAAUUUGAUCUUGACCUAAAACUUUAAAUUGAAUGAAAGAAUUCAUAUGUUUCAAUUGUAAAGAUACAUGACUUCUGACUAGUAAAAACAGCUUUCAACUAUCAAAUACCAACUUUCAGUGGAACCUUGAUUGGAAAUUCCAAUCAAAGAAUUCAGAUUUUGACUUCCAAUAUUCAUACAUUCAAACAAGCCAAAAUAUGCUUUGAGUCUUGACCCUGACUUCAAACUAUCAAAUUCUUACUUUAAAGUGUUUGAUUCGACAAUUGGCAUGAAGGAUAUACUACUAUCAAAAAGGGGAAAGGGAAUUCAACUCAAAGAGAAAGCUUUUGAUACAAAAUGUUAUAAUCUUUUCACCUAACAUAUAGGGCAGGGGGCCCACUAUGGUUAUCUUUACAAAAAAGUUAUACUACUUUACUGUUACGUGUGCAGCUAUAUAUACUCUUUUCUCUCACCAAAACUUAAAAUGAACUGACGUAUACCUCGACCUUGACCUCAACUUUUAGGAAGAGAAUUCAAAUGUUUGAACUAGGGUGAUCGAUGACUUCCAACUAGACAAAAAUAACUUUCAACUAGCAUGCCAACUUUCAAUGGAGCCUUGAAUGGAACUUUCAAUCAUAGAACUCAGAUUUUGACCCUUCCACUUAAUUUCAUCAAUUGAAACUAGCAAAAGUAUGCUUUAAAUUAUCCGCAUCUAAAACAAUAUUUCAAGUUCUAACUUUAAAGUGUUUGACUCAACAAUUUCCAAGCACAAUACUAUCAAAAAGAGAAAAGGGGAUCCAACUCAAAGAAGGAAAAAACAUCGUACUUGAUAUAAAAAGAUAUACCAAAAAUGCUUGGUCUUUUUACGUACUUCCUCCGUUUCAAAAUGUAGGUCGUUUUGAUUUUUUGAGAUUUAUAGAUUUUGUUAUGUAUCUAGACAUAAUGUAUAAUGUAUAUCUAGAUGCAUAUCAAAAUCUAUGAAUCUAGAAAAGUCAAAACGAUCUACAAUUUGAAAUGGAGGGAGUAACUAAAGGCACAACCCCACUAGAGGUCUUUCUCCGUAGAGUAUGGCAUCCAAUCAAUUCAUCAAUCAAGCCCACCAGUACCAUACGCCAUCUUGUUUCUCACCUCGAACCGGUCCUCUUCCCCAUCUCCGAUUAUUUCUCUAUGGUGCCUUCACCUCUCCUCCAUCAUUCUCCUUUCUAGCAGCUCAUUCGCCGGAUCUACCCCAGCUACCACCCGAACCCUACGGAUAGCAAUUCCCCUAGCCACAUCAGCAAUUCGUCUACGUGGUAGUGUAUUUAUUGCUAUGGAAACUAUCCUCGUCACUGCGUUGGGACUGCCCUGAUACGUGAGAUGAGUUUCAUGAGACGCGCAGUUAUCUAGUUCUCAAUCUUAAUAAUUAUGUAAUAAAACUGUACACUGAGACUGGCCUUAAAAGAAGACUUGAGACUUGGGUCUUGGGUCAGUGGUGAGUGAGUGGUGACUUCAGCGCAUCUUUCCCAUGCACGGCAACCACAAGACUACCUGCAUGAAAGGUAAAAGUACAAUGCACCGGCAAUUUUCGAUCUCGUACUUCUGCGCAAGUAAACUGUUCAACUCUUCCACCAAAAUCUGCCUCGCCAUGCAUCACUCCUCCACAUCACCAUAGAUUCCUGCUACAGCUAUCAUUUUAUCUGUUGCCAGGCUGUUCCUCUGCUCCCCAUCGCACUCAACCAGUGUUCGAUCACCAUGAUAUGCAAAGAUGUGUUCACUUUUGAAGAUUGUCGAAAUGCCCAGUCAAACAUUUCGGCAGCUACAGUCAACACAGCCACACAGUGACACAGGACGCGCGGGCCCACCUUCGCUAUUUAGUCGGUCACUUUAGCGGUUGUGCCUCAUGUGCUCCCAUCACCGAUUCACCCCUUUGUUCGUUUCGUCGCUACUGCAAUAGUCUAAACCUUCCCACUCUUCUCCGAUGGCUCCGUCCUUGCUGCUCUUCCUCGUCUCGUCGGUGCCGCUGAUUCUUGCUGCCGGAGAAGAGCACUGCCCGACCGUGCCAGUGGCAUGCGGCAAAGUCAACAUCACCUUCCCGUUCGCGAUCGUCCCGGAUGAGGCCACGGAGACCAGCUGCGGUUUGAUUGGGUUCCAGGUUCGUUGCUCGAACAACACCCCGUACCUCGGCUACCAUAAUGGGCUCUACGGACACCAGUUCCAGAUCCUCGACAUCUUCUACAACAACGCCUCCUUGCUCCUUGCCGAUGUCCACAAGCUCCAAGACUUCAAUAACUCUGCUUCGGAAAAAUGCCACGCCCCGACGAACAACAGCUCCAACAAUCUCGGUAUUCCGUUCUCGAUCAGCCCUAUUAACCAGAACCUGAUCUUCUACAACUGCACGAAGCCCCUGUCGGAGGAGGAGAGGUGGAGCCGCGGGCUUGUGGAGACGACCUGCGGGAACAUGACGUUCGUUCGCGUCGCCGGGCGUUCCGACGGCUUGGGAAGCUACGACAGCUACUUUUUGGAGGGCUGCAACUCUACCGUCGUGCCGGUGCUUGCGAGGUAUGGCCAUGCGAACGCGAGCAACUACAAAGAGCUCAUCAGCGAUGGCUUCGUCUUGACAUGGGAGGCGCCACUGAAGUCAGGUAUAUUUCACUCUUCCAACUAAUACAUCACUUCGACCUAUAGAAGAACCUUGGAACAGCCAGACAUUUCCUAGCACUCCCCUUAGAACGAGCCUCAUCAGCGUAAGGCGUAGAGACUCCAGAGUACGGACCUGACGACCCAACCCACUGAUUUGAUAAGGGCGUAGCGAAACGCAUGUCGUCGUCCCCAACCGCGGUAGGCGUGUUCGCCGCCGCCACUCUGCCGUCCGGCGUACGUCCGUCAACACACAAGUCAAUGAGAUAUUAACACCGGAACAAAUAAAUACAGAAAGGAAAAUAAAAGAAAGAGACAAAAAAAGAGGACCAAUCAGACGGUUGGAGGGACCACGACCAGUCAAACCGCUCGUCACCGUCCUUUCUCCCCUCACCUCAUAUCCGCUCCGCCCCCCAGUCCGUUCCACUCCUUGUUCUCCUCCCUCACCGUCACCGAACUCCAAACCAUUCCACUGCCACCCCAUCCACAAUCCGAUACGCAUCCGCUCCUGCUACUCCUGCUCCUGCUCACUUCCUUCCUCAUCCGGGCGGCGGCGGCCAGCGUGGAGAAGUCGUCAGGCUGCUGGCCGAAGGCUACUGCCAUCGUCGAACCUUCACGUGCUCCCAUGGCUUCGGCCUUGUUGGUCUUCCUCGCCUCGUCGGUGUGGGUGGCCUUCUCGGCACCACUGAUGCCUGCUCCAGCAGCAGAUAGGCAAGGCAGAGAGCACUGCCCGUCCCAGCUAUGCGUCAUUGUGAACAUCUCCUUCCCGUUUGGGCUCGUUCCGGAGGAGGACGCCGUGACGCACUGCUAUGCACUGUUCCUGGUUCGUUGCCGUAACAACACCCCAUACCUCGGAUACUAUCAGACCGAGUUCUUCAUGCAGAUCCUCAGCAUCUUUUACGACAACGCCUCCUUGCUCAUCGCUGAGACCCAGGAUCACAAUGACUCUAGACACCUGGAACUAGGCUGCUACAUCCCGACAGGCAACGCCACCUCCAAGAUCGGUCGUCCGUUCUCGAUCAGCCCCCUCAAUCAGAAUCUCAUCUUCUACAAUUGCAUCAAGCCGCUGCCGCCAUCCGUGGGGCUUGCAGAGACGAUGUGCCGCAACAACACGUAUGUUCGCGUCGCUGCCGAGCGUUACGAUGGUCAUGGCAGCUACUUCUUGGAGGGCUGCAACUCUACCGUCGUGCCGGUGCUUGCGAGGUAUGACCAUGCGAACGCGAGCAACUACGAGGAGCUCAUCAGCGAUGGCUUCCUCUUGACAUGGGAGGUGCCACUGAAGUCAGGUAUAUUUCACUCUUCCAACUAAUACAUCACUUUGUCCUAUAGAAGAACCUUGGAACAGCCAGACAUUUAGCACUCCCCUAGAACGAGUCUCAUCAGCGUAAGGCGUAGAGACUCCAGAGUACGGACCUGACAACCCAACCCACUGAUUUGAUAAGGGUGUAGCGAAACGCAUGUCGUCGUCCCCAACGGCGGUAGGCGUGUUCGCCGCCGCCACUCUGCCGUCCGGCGUACGUCCGCCAACACACAAGUCAAUGAGAUAUUAACACCGGAACAAAUAAAUACAGAAAGGAAAACAAAAGAAAGAGAUUAAAAAAAGAGGACCAAUCGGACGGUUGGAGGGACCACGACCCGUUGCAGCCGCCACCGCCACAGCCACCGUUGCAACCGUGAGCAGGUAAGUUCACUUUUUUAAACGAAUAAAAUACGAUUAGUAGGAUGAUGCUUUGGCUUUGACCUAUAAAAAACUAAGGGCCAGUUUGGCAGGGCUCCGGCUCUGGCUCCGUGCGCUUACCGAAGCACGGAGGAGCCGGAGCCGCACCAAACGGCAUUGACCGCGGAGCCAUUUUUUGGCACAUUUGGGAGGAACCGGAGCCGUUUUAGGCCUGCAUGGAGGAGCCCAAAAAAGUGGCUCCGCGGCUCCGGCUCCGGCUCCACACGAGGAGCCCCUCGCGAGGAGCCCUGCCAAACUCGCCCUAAGCCUAGUUCUAGUUCAAGGAUUCCUCUGUUCUCUCAAACAAGAGCCACAUCGAAGGUACUAAAUAGUGUUCGUAACGAUCGUUAUAGAGGUAGCAGUACUCUACCGCAACAAAGUAGCGGACCCAAGAUAGCAUGUAUAGACUUAACAGCCGCUAUUAUCCACUAUUGCUCGCUAUUGCAGCCUCUGUUGCUCAUGUUAGGCCGCUAUUCGCUAUAUUUACAGUUCAAGUGAUAUAUGACCAUGAAUCAAAUCAAAUGGUUAUAAUAAUGUUUAAAAUGGUUAUUUAGGUAAUGACCAAGAGUUAUUGAUGAAAAAUAAUUUUUUUUAUUUAUUGAUAUGGGAAGUUAAUGUUAAUAUAUAUCCAUACAUCUUAAUUAUACCUAUUUAUUUGUGAUUCUUACCAUGAAAUGUAAACUUGAUGUUAAUAUUCAUAUAUGCUUUAAAAUUGUGACUAUUUUGUGAAUUCCGCUAUUUGAACUUAGCGUCCGCUAUAGCAUCCGCUAUCCGCUACAUCAGCACUAAUUUGCUACCAUACUGCUAAAUGCUAUUUAGUACCUUAGCCAUAACAGGCUAGCAGGGAGCUAGAGACCAUGUAGUAUGGACUACGGACCUGGCAACCCAAACCACCAACCAGCAUACUAUCCACGCUGAUGAUUUGAUAAGGGCGUAAGCCGGUUGUCAUCCCCAACCGUGGCCGCUGCCACUUGUUGUCCGGUAAGUCAAUGAGAUGUUAAAACUUAAAUAAACAAAUUCAGAGAGAUGGAGGCAUGAACCACGACCGGUCGCCACCGUCCUUUCUAGUUUCUCCUAUCAUCUCAUAUCCGUAUCCGUCCCGCUAUCUGUUCCGUGCUCACAUUCCUCCGCCAUUGCCACCCCAUAUGCCUCUGCUUCUCCUCCUGCUGCUCGCUUCCUUCCUCCUCCUCCACUGGGCAUCAAAUGAUGAAAAUCAUCUUCAUGUUUAGUCAUAAAUUCUUCUUUUUCCUUUUCUUUUAGGCUUUCUUCUGCCUAUAUAUACUGUCAAGUCUUAUUUGCAGUAACAAAAGUAGUUCAGCUAUAGACUAAAGAGGGCAAAGUUUUCAUGUCAGACUAACUUAAACUGCACAAUUUUACAAUUGAAAUGACAAGCUAUUCACAGUGACUGUUCUUAUGCAGGAGGAAGCAAUAGGAAAAAGAUAGUCAGUAUCAGUGAGUAUCAACUCUCAACCUUCAUGGCUUAUCUAUUAUACUUGAUCUCUUUUCCUGCUCUACUGAAACUUUGUAGCAUCAUAUGUUUUCAGCAUCUAUUUGAUUAAUUAGUUAUUGCAUAUUGCUAACACCUUUACACUGUUAUUGCAUAUUGGGAAAUUUGGAGGAGGAUUUGUUGUCUUUGAUUAUAUGGCUUCUUCAUAUUUUCUUACUUUGCACUUCUUCUUUUGUUUUUUUUGUAUAAAAAAGAGAAAAAUAUGAAUUGUUGACGGUCUUGGAAAUAUGAAUGAUAAUAAUAUAGCAGCUCACUGUUUCAAGAGAAAAAGAGAAAAAUAACAUAUGCUUUAAUUUCAGUUUCGAUGACAGUAGCUGCAAGCUUGCUCCUACCAUGUAUAUAUAUGCUUGUAUGGCAUGGAAAGAGAGGAAAGCUACAUUUUUUCCUAUGUGAAAAGACUAGCAAAAGCACUGAAAGGAACAUUGAGGCCCUAAUAGUUUUGCAUGGAUCCCUAGCUCCAAAAAGAUACAAGUACUCACAAGUAACAAAGAUAACGUCUUCCUUUAGUGAUAAGCUUGGGGAAGGUGGUUAUGGUUCGGUUUUCAAAGGAAGGCUAGAUGAUGGUCAUCAAGUUGCUGUGAAAUUCUUACACGACUCCAAAGGAGAAGGGGAGGAUUUUGUUAACGAGGUUAUGAGCAUUGGCAGGACCUCUCAUGUUAAUAUUGUUAGCUUAUUUGGGUUUUGUUUGGAAGGCUCAAAGCGGGCCCUAAUAUAUGAGUACAUGCCCAAUGGUUCUUUGGAUAAGUUCAUAUACUCAGAGAGUCCUAAAGCAGUUUUAGGAUGGGAUAAGCUCUACACAAUAGCGAUUGGAAUUGCUCGAGGAUUGGAAUACUUGCAUCAUAGUUGUAAUACACGCAUUGUCCAUUUUGAUAUCAAGCCUCAAAAUAUCCUUCUAGAUGAGGAUUUUCACCCAAAGGUUGCUGAUUUUGGUUUAGCCAAAUUGUGUCAUACCAAGGAGAGCAAGCUUUCUAUGACUGGUGCUAGAGGAACAGUUGGUUUUAUUGCUCCUGAAGUUCACUCUCGAACCUUUGGAGUUGUUUCAACAAAAUCAGAUGUUUAUAGUUAUGGAAUGAUGUUAUUAGAGAUGGUUGGAGGCAGAAAAAAUGUGAAAUCAGUUGCUCAGAAAUCAAGUGAAAAGUAUUUUCCACAUUGGAUUUAUGAUCGUGUUAGACAAGGUGAUGGAUUACAAGCAUGUGAGGUCUCAAGUGAAAAUGAAGGAAUAGCCAAAAAGAUGAGUGUGAUUGGCUUGUGGUGCAUCCAAAUACUACCAAUGCAUCGCCCUACAAUAGCAAAGGUUUUGGAAAUGUUUGAGCGAGGUUUAGAUGAUUUGGACAUGCCACCGAGACAAAACUUCAGCCAAAUUCUGUAAGAUGUUCACGCUACUUAUUUCUGGAACUACUCACUACUAUUUACUAUAAUGUUGAUGUUUUAGAAACAAUUCUUUUCAUUCUUUUGCAGCGAAGAUCCAUGUUGCAAUUUGAAUGCAGAAAGCACGAGUACAAGAAGUGGUACCAAAACUCAAGUUUUUAGCGAAGUGCUAAAAAUGAAGGAGAUGAGCGUUGUGAAUUCAAAAAGUUUACAUCGGUUACCAACUCUGUGACAAGGUUACCUAGCAUUGGAAUUAUGCACUGAACUUAUGCAUCUAUAUGAGCUAGGGUAGAAAUCUUAAGUUACUCUGAUACUUGUCUCAAAAGAAACAUGCUCACUAUACUAUUUUGCAUUCAAAGUCAUUAAGGCCCCAAGAAGGAAAGUUUUGCAACUAUGCAUACGAUAUUUUGACAUAAUCCUAACAUUUCUAUAUCUUUGUUAGUUAGACCUACAUAAUCCUAACAUUUCUAUAUCUUUGUUAGUUAGACCUUCUCAUUGUUCUUCACUGACGCACCAGCACCCCUUAUAGUCAUCCAUCACCCAAAAUUUACCAAACGCUAAUGACACAUCUGUACCAGAAUCAGGUAAAUGAAAAGGUAUCCAAGGCAUUACACAUACUAGAAAAAAAUCAAGGCAUUAUAGUUUUCGAGUCACGGCCUUAUUAGUAGAGUCGAUCAAGCAUAUAGUUGGAUCCUAAAUUAUUGCCAUGUUGAAAUAUGAGGAUGAAGGCAUAAAGUUGAUCGUAGCCAUGAGUCAUGACACAUGUAUAACUGAGGCCUAAAGGAUCAUAAAUUUUGCUUGACAGUUAUGUAGUUUCUAAAUUUAACCUUCCGGUUCCUAACAAAAGUUAAGGUUGAUAGUUGACACCCACAAGCCGUCCAACUGAACCCUAAAAAGAAAACUACUCAAUCCAAAUACUCGUGGUCUCAAUGCAAAAUCAGAAUACAUUUUCAAACAAUAGAAGGACCGAAUCAGAUUGAUCUACGCAUCUGAUAACUAAAAAUCACAUAUGUGGGUAAAUCGAUCAUAAAUCUUGUGGAAGUACGGAACCAGGGGCGGAUCCAGGGCCCGGGCUGCUCGGGCUGCAGCCCGGGGCGAGACCGUGGAGUCCCUUUAACCUACGUACUGUUUAGCCUAACAAAAUAAGGUUUAUGAGACAAAAUUAGACUAUUUUAGAUGUGAUUCAACAGCUCAGCCCGGGGUGCAGCCCCGUUCUGGAUCCGCCCCUGUACGGAAACCAAUCAAAAUGUGUGAUACUUACAUGGUUCUUCGAAUGCCCGCUGCUUCUACUAUUCUUCCAAGGCGACAAGGGUAGGUUAGGCAGGCGUACCCAAAGGGUUUAUGCCACUGAUGGUGCGAGAUUGGAUUAGUACUGCAGCCUCUCCAUCUACCACCCUAAUCACCAGCACGGAGCCGGCGAUGCGGCAAGGCGCAGAGUGGAGAGAUUCUUGAGGGAUUUCCUCAUGCCCUCAUAGGAUGGUACCAAUUUUUUUUGGUACUGGCUGCUAUUGCGCCGUAGGAGAUGGCUGGGGAUGGUGCUAUAACUGUUGUUCACCGCCGCUCAUCUCGAUGGCAAGACGGCAACUGCAACAGCUCGGCAACUCGUUCGUCAGUCGUUGCGGCCUAGAGCGGAUCUCCAUGGACCGAGUCCAUCUGAGGCGAGGGCCCAUCAUGAAAAGUUGGACCGUGCCAGGUCCACGCAGGCACGCCGUCGCCUCCGAUGGCCCAAUACAAUUUGUCAGCGUCUCCAAAAAAGAACACAAUGCAUAUGAUGUGUGCUCUCUGCACAUCCUGACUUGGGAAGGUGACAGGGUUUUGUUUUCAGGAAGCUGGAUGCAUAGCCUGGACGUUUUAGGUUGUGUGGUGAAUACAGUGCUAGUCGUCUCCUCUGAUGCUCUCUUGGAAUGGCCGAGUGGCCGACGAUGUUUGUACCGGCCUGGAGUCCUUUCAAUAUCUAACUGUUGCCAGCUGUAUGUAGUUAACUUUCAGGGUUAGUGUUUGGCAUAAAUGAGUGAAGCUUGCUUGGCCGACAAGAGCGUGUAUUACCCGGAGCUGAUCAGGCUCAGGGCGCGCAUCCAGUCACGUCAGUGUCUCAUGACAGUCGUCGCUUUGCCCCGUCCCAUACGGGCACAUCGGACGUUUCCGUGCGCGGAUGACGAUGGUCCCAAUGUGUCCACUCAAAGCUUUCUGCCGCUACAGUCUACACAGGGCGCGCGACUCACCAGCUUCACCAUUUAGUCUGGCGCUUCUGCCUAUCUAUAUUCGUCCAGAACUGAUUCACCACUCUGUUCGUCCUGCUACUGCCAUCGUAGAAACCUUCCCAUACGCUCCCAUGGCUCCGUCGUCCUUGCUGCUCUUCCUCGUCUCGUCGGUGCCGGGUGAUGCUUGCGGCAGCAGCAGCAUACGUGCAAGGAGGAAAGGACCGCGCACCUGUGGUAUGCGGCAACCUCAGCAUCUCCUACCCGUUUGUGUUACUCUCGGAGGAAGCAACGGAGUAACUACGCAGUGCUCGGAUUCCAA
rnacentral:lncRNA from 1 species